rnacentral:misc_RNA from 1 species
AUGCGAUAAGUAAUGUGAAUUGCAGAAUUCAGUGAAUCAUCGAAUCUUUGAACGCACAUUGCGCCCGCCAGUAUUCUGGCGGGCAUGCCUGUUCGAGCGUCAUUUCAACCCUCAAGCCCCCGGGUUUGGUGUUGGGGAUCGGCGAGCCUCACGGCAAGCCGGCCCCGAAAUACAGUGGCGGUCUCGCUGCAGCUUCCAUUGCGUAGUAGUAAAACCCUCGCAACUGGUACGCGGCGCGGCCAAGCCGUUAAACCCCCAACUUCUGAAUGUUGACCUCGGAUCAGGUAGGAAUACCCGCUGAACUUAA